rnacentral:rRNA from 1 species
AGUGAACGCUGGCGGUAGGCCUAACACAUGCAAGUCGAACGGCAGCACAGUAAGAGCUUGCUCUUACGGGUGGCGAGUGGCGGACGGGUGAGGAAUACAUCGGAAUCUACUUUUUCGUGGGGGAUAACGUAGGGAAACUUACGCUAAUACCGCAUACGACCUACGGGUGAAAGCAGGGGAUCUUCGGACCUUGCGCGAUUGAAUGAGCCGAUGUCGGAUUAGCUAGUUGGCGGGGUAAAGGCCCACCAAGGCGACGAUCCGUAGCUGGUCUGAGAGGAUGAUCAGCCACACUGGAACUGGGACACGGUCAAGACUCCUACGGGAGGCAGCAGUGGGGAAUAUUGGACAAUGGGCGCAAGCCUGAUCCAGCCAGACCGCGUGGGUGAAGAAGGCCUUCGGGUUGUAAAGCCCUUUUGUUGGGAAAGAAAAGCAGCAGGUUAAUACCCCGCUGUUCUGACGGUACCCAAAGAAUAAGCACCGGCUAACUUCGUG